UACGGGGGGGGCAAGCGGUUGUUCGGAAUUACUGGGCGUAAAGGGCUCGUAGGCGGCCAACUAAGUCAUACGUGAAAUCCCUCGGCUUAACCGGGGAACUGCGUCUGAUACUGGAUGGCUUGAAUCCGGGGAGAGGGAUGCGGAAUUCCAGGUGUAGCGGUGAAAUGCGUAGAUAAUCUGGAGGAACACCGGUGGCGGAAGGC
rnacentral:rRNA from 1 species